AGACUCACAUUAACUAACUGGCAACACUAAAUGAUUUAUCUGUUACACUGGCUGCUGCAAGCGGGAUAUAUCAGAGUGAACUGCUCCAAGGCAGGAGGCUCAGGAGGCCAAGGAACGGUUUACACUCAGAUCAUCUGAUCUGAAAUAUUUAAAAUUCAUUGAAUGCAACCAACAUUAUUCACCCUGCUUCUUAAACAUAGUCAUAGCUAGACUAUUGUCAUUGGUGCCAUUAAACUUCAAGGAGUCUCUCACAAACUGAUCCUUCUCACUUCUCUUACUUCCAAGCUAACUUUAAGAAAACUAGGCCAGAGAAGCCUCUUCCCAAUUUAAGUCAAAGACAUCAAGGAAUCCCCCAGAAAAAAACGAAGGAAAUGCAACAGGAAACCUUUCAAGAUUUCUAAAUAUUCUCCAAGAAGAUGGAUAGCAUGGAAGGUUUAAUGUUCUGAGUAGGUGACAGGUGAACAAAUCACAGGUCUUGAGUUUCUCUACCCUGCCUCUCUCUGGUAACGUCAUCUCCAGUACCAUCUGCUACCUACCAGCUAAACAGACCAACCACAUAAUGAGGUACCAGCUUCUACCCAGCUACCGUGACUAAAUCAGAACAAAAGAACUCAACGCCUCCUUCAACAAAGGGACACAAGUCUAAGCUGUCUUUGCUAAUUGCUGGGUUUCAGGUUGUCUGUUACAGAAUUUAAGUGAGCUGCAAACUUGCAUCCAUACUUAAUAGCUGUUGGAUAAAGAUAAUGCGAAUAAAAGAUAAAUGGAAACUGAAGGCAAUGAUGCUGUUCUCCUAAAAUGUGAGACAGUUUUCUUCUUGACAGCAAGUGGAGCCCAGCUCUGCAUCUCCCUCAGUCACUGGAGAAAGACUAACAUGCUUCAGAUUCAGUUGCUUUCCAGACAGACUUGAAAUGAUUCAAUGAAAUGAUUACUCCAUUCAUCUAUCACGUUUUAUUCUUAUUGUGUAACAAGUGAGACACUGUGGGUCAUUUUAAAGGAAAAGAGAAUAGUGGUAUAAUCCUAUUAAAGACAUCAGACUAUUUAAAAAUAGGACAGAUAUUAACAUCACCCUAAACUGUAAAUGAAUGUAUUUGUAAAGGUGUUUUAACUUUCCAGAGUGAAGCACAUUUUAUGUUGCUGUUUCUUUGCUACACCAUCACUAUCCUUAUCCAGCUAGUGCAGCCUGGUGUAUGAGUCAUAGGAAAUUAUAUUUCUUGCUUAUUAAAGUGGUUUGUCUCAGGAAUAUUUCAGAGUGUAUAUUUUUUUCACUCAUAAAGAUGUUGAGAGAAUAACUGGCAACCUAUUUAAAUGCCCUUUGCUUAAGAGAUGUCUAUUACAUUUGCUGGAGAUUUUUUAAAAUUUUAUUGCCUUUCUAAACUGUUAAUUAUGUAUCGAAAUGUAUUGCUGUCACCAGUCUAACAUGAACAAAGCAAUACAGUGAGCUGCCUGAGAUAUUUCAGCAUGGUAUUAAUUACAAGCAUAGUAAUAAAUGAAAAUUCUACAAACCUCUCCAAUUGCAUUUGUUUGUAACCCCAGUGGAUCAAUGUUUUAUAUUAGCACGUGGCAAAAAAUACCAUUCCAGGAACUCAGCAACUAAAUAUGAUCUAAACCCAGCAUCUUUGGGGCAGGGUAGCAUUUCUUGGAUUUAUAAUCUCACCAUUUGCUCCAAUCUGAAUGAGCUCCCUUGCUGUGUCUCAGCAAUACACCUAGUUUAAGACCAUGCAAGCAGCCCACUUUCCAGAAGAUGAUCAGCAAAGAAUGUGUUUUAUUCUGAUUUGGAAAACUGUCAAUCAUUGAUAAAUAAGAUCAGAUAACUAUUACUCUAUAAAAUUAGCUAAUUAUAUUUGCCUGAUUUGCAAGAAGAAUAAACAAUGUUUCUAAGGAAAAUAUUGAGGAUGAUUUACCCAGAUGUUAUAUACAAAUUGCUUUGUCAUUGAUACAGGCAAUUGGCUUCAGAAAUAAAUACAACCAUGUAACUGUGUGUGUGUGUGUACAUAUACACACACAUAUCUCAGACCUAAAUAAGAUAUACUUAGUCUUAGAUUUUUAGUUUAUAGGACCGUAGGUAUUUGAACAAUUCUGAAAACGCCUUUAUAGGUGUCAGAGAUGGAGGGUUUCAGAGUAGCAGCUGUGUAAGUCUGUUUUCAGAAAAAGAAAAGGAGUACUUGUGGCACCUUAGAGACUAACAAAUUUAUUUGAGCAUAAGUUUUUGUGAGCUACAGCUCACUUCAUCGGAUGCGUUCAGUGGAAAAUACAGAGAGGGAGGGGAAUCUUCAACCACAUGAUCUUCUCUCCAGAGUCCUGUUAAGUGUACUGAACUUAAAACAGAAACAAGAAGUGUGAAAUAUAGGUUUGAACAUGAUAUGUCAGAAAUGUAAAGGUUGUAAGCCUUUUUAGUAACCGAUAUUAAUAUUGUAUUAAAUGUGAUGAAAAGGUAGAUGUUAGGGAGAGGGGCUGGGCUCAUGUGCAAUUUUGUCAAGGCUUUAUCUGUGAUUAUGAUUCCAGAUGUAUCUACUCCCUGAGGAGAGGAAUGAAGUUGGCAUGUGACAGGUGUUUUAAGGUGUUUGGCACAGUUUCCCAAAGUGAUGACAAAAUCUUCAUUUUUAUUACAGUGAAUCAGUAAAGGAAAUACAAAUGGGUAGGUCAAUGGUUAUGUAUUUUAGAUAAAUAAUGGAUUAUUAUUUUAGGGAAUAUAGCUUUCUGUUGAUGUCUUUAAAUCUUCUAUCCUGAAUCAUCAUGCAUCUGUCAUUAAAUAACACUUGAAGUAGUAUGAUUUUAACAAAAUACAUAGUUCCUAGAUCAUACAAGUUAAAUAUCAUGCAGAGGAUAUGGGAGUCCAUGUAUGUUAUAAAAGUAAAUAUUGCAACAAGAUGUCUCUGCUGCAACUGCUCCUUACUGUUAAUCUAUUUAAAAUCUUGUCCGGAAUACUUCUAAAUUCUUUAAUUGCCAUUUUGCUAAUCUGGUUACUUUAUAAGACUGUACAGUUAAGGCUCAAAUGACUGCAGUAAAAUUCUUCAUAGGCAUACACUUCUUGCUUAUCAUAAACAGACAGAUUUUGUUUUAACAAAGCGGUGAAGGUAUUUUGUCUCACUGAAAACUCUUGUGUCUAAAUGCACAUAAAGAGUUUAGAUUGGAAAGUUCCUGCCCUCCCCCACUGCCCUUUUUCACUAUGUAAUAGUAUCAGUAAUUCUACUCUGACAGCAGGGCACCAAGAGCUGCAUUGCCAGGCAAACACUCUCUCAUAAACAUUUUACAAGUUCCAUAUCAACCAAUCCUAGAUGUUUUGGGGGCUGCCCUGAUUGGGUGUAUUAUGGAUUUGGUAAACACUGCUGCAUAACAAAAAUAGGGUUUGUAGUGAAAGACUCCACUAGCACUGCCUCUUCGGAAUAAUCAGAGACUAAGAAUAUGACUCAGUCCAUAUUUUACUUAGUUGCUAACUAAACCUUGUAUCCAGCUACAAAUAUUUAGAGAGAUGAGCUGAGUAUAUUCCUUUCAGUUUUACAACCAAAUUUAACCACAUCAGAAAGUACUUCAGAUUCCUAACACAAUAUUAGACUCAUUUAAUGUAAGGAAGUCUCCUUCAUUGGUUGUGAUUGGGAACAUUUUGUAUUUUAUAGGUGUAUUUGAGAGGUUAGCAGUAGGGGGGAAUUGUCUGUGGGAAAAUCUGUCUACAGUUGAAAUUUUUAGAUGCAGAAAUGUUGCUGAAAUGCCUAAAACAUUCACAUUCUUUCGUUAAUCAGUUCAUAACAGUAUCCUCUUACCUGGCAGACACACAUUGGAAAUCAAGUUUGUCUGUUUUUAAAAAUCAAACAUCAUUUCUCUUUUCUCUGUCAUUUGUCAUCUCCAAUGACAUCUACUUGUUUUUAUUUUUUGAUGUGCAAUAUCUGUCCUUUCAAGCUUUUCAUUUUCAAGGAUUCUACCUGGCCAGGUUUUUGUCACUAUAUUAAUUUAAAAAACCCUAAAUAUCAGCAACUUUAUUUUACUUUAUUUUUGCAUGUGUGAAAAUCAUUAGCAAGCCCCUUGCCAUUAAAUUAUGAACAAUGGUGUGCAAGUUUUCAUACUUUGAUUUUCUGUAGGAUAAUUUUUCUCAUAAAUAAUUAACCUGACUAAAUAAAAAUAAAGCUUGAGAUGCUUUACAAUAUAAUGCAGAAGCUAAUUGUUAGAGUAUGUGUUGAUUUUAUACUUGAGAUUUUAGAACUUAAUUUAUAUUUCAGUAUCAAAGAAAAAAUUCAUACAAUGUGUUUUAAAAUGAGAGCUAUGGUGCAUGUCAGAUAUGAAAUGUGUGGGCUUCAUGCAAGCACACUUGCUCACCAAAUUUACUUUAAAGCAGUACGUUUAAACAUUCAUAAAUUAAAAUGGCAGUUUGCAAUCAGAUACUGAUUACUACUUCAUUUGAAAUUUGCAAGAUAUCUGGCCAUUUAAUAUUUAUUCUCUAUUUCUCUGAACUGCUCUAAUUGCAAAUCUAGAUUUUGCAUUUAUUUCUCUUUGCAAACACUACAUUAUUCACCCUUUCUUGUGCUUAUUAAACAGUGCCACCUGCACCAAAUGAAACAAAGCUUCCCAUCAAUCUAUCCCAGCUGAAGAAUCCUGACUAUAUAUUAUCAUUAAUUGAAGAUCAAUUGAACACUUGAGUGUGAACCAGAUAUAGGAACCAGAAGAAAAAUGUAAAAAAUUUUAGGAUGUACUUUAAAGAGAUCUUUUAAUUUAAAAUGUUCUUUAAAACAGAGAACCUAACCUUGUACCAAGCGCUCUUCAUCAGCUCUGCACUGUGACUCAAGUAGCAAUUAGCAGGUCCUUUAAUUAAUUAACUAUUCCCUGUAUAUGGCUGAGAUGUCUGUGGAAAUAAUGUCAUUCUUCAUAAGUGAACACCAAAUCCAGUCAAUAUUUUGUCACUAAAAACCUUUAUCUGGACUAACCAAAUGCCCACCAUAUGUCUUAGAAAAACAGUUUCAAAAUACAGCAAGCAGGUAGGGAAACCAGAUGCAAACUUUACAAAACUAAUGCGGGCGAUUAGAGCGGACAAAAGUACAAAUGGAAAGGCUGAUACAGAUAUCAUAUGUAAGUAAAUAUGUGCAAUAGCAAUAAAUUAUAAUGGAGAACUAAGGAGAAAACUGAAAAAAUGAGAUCAUCUUAUUGACAUAUUUAUUUAAGUAAAAAGAAAUUAUUCAUUCAAGUUCUGUCACUAAAAAAAAUGAAUAUAGUGCAUCCUUUAAAAUGUUAUGUGCUUUCUUCAAUAUACUGCUUAUCUUGAACAUUGUCAGCUCUCAAACAAGCACAGAUUAAUUAAGUGGCAGUUCAGACACAAUAAGGUGAAAGGCCAUUUCCAACCAAUCAGUGACAUUUUGCUAAGUUUAUGCUAUCUGAAGUUUUCAUAUAAGUACAAGUGGGGCUGGUUAUUUUUUGUGUCAUUUGAAUUUGGAAAAAUAUUAAGAUAUGUUUAUAUAUACCAAAUAUGAAAAUGAUUGAAAAUAUGUGGGAUAUAUUCAAUGUGUACACUGUUAAUAUUUCCAUAAGUUGCAGUUUCUGUAUAUAUAAAUCUGUAGCUAUAGAUUUGUGUGUUUAUAUGUGCAUAUACGUAACAUAUCUCUAUGUUAAAUAAAAAAUUUAUAAAAAAUAGGUGCGUGUUUAUAUAUACAGACACAGAAAUACUGAGACUUAUUCAAAGCUGAAUAUUUGUGAGCAUUAUUUUUAGGUUCAUUAGUUUUCUUUAUAUAUAAUAACUUUAUCUUACAAGAUUUCUGUAUGCAGAAUAGGGAUUGUCAAUUUACUUAAUUUACAGCAUAAUAAAACUCAAAGUAGACCUCUUAUAUGAUUUUACAAGAAUUACACAUUAGGCUCUCUCUUUUACCAUGUGGAAUAAUUUGGUUUGCAAAACAAAUUUUUUAGCUACAGUAAAUUAAAAACCAAAACCAAAAAAAUGAUACAAAAUUAUACAUUUUGAAGACAUUUUAGCUAUCUAUUGGACAUAAUAUAAAUUAUUAAGAAACACAAAAGGACAACUUUAAAUAUUCUGGUUUACUUGCCAAAUAUACAGAUCUACUAACAAAAAGUAUGUAAUUAGAACCUCUUAUAAAAAAAAACCUAAACAGGAUUUUUUUGUUUUUUGGUUUUUACCAGAACAAAUGAAAAUAGCUGGAUUUGUCUAUGGUUUGAUAUUCUAUAGUAGUGACAGAAAUAAAGAAUUCUGUUAUCAUCUAUUCUAUUACACCAAUAUUAUUGCAAGUGCAGUUAAAGAAAUAUAUUGUGGCAUAAUUCAAAAUGCAAGGAAAGGUGUGAGGACCAUCAGAUAAGCUAUGAUUGCAUCUCUGUUUUUCCUGUGUAAAUCUGCUCUUAUCAAUUAUUCAGCAUUUAUGUUAUACAAAAACUAUGUCCUAAAUUUUGAAAUUGCUGUUUAUAAUUUACCAAUGACAGUAGAAAAGAUGAAAUUGUAACCUCAGUAUUUGGUGUUCUUGUGUAAUAAUAUACAGCACACAUUUUCCAAUCGGUUUGGCAAUGAAUCCACUAUUUUCAUACAUCUGUGUCAAACAAAGGUAGACUCUAAUGCAAUUUCUUACUGUUCAUUUCCCUGAAUCUUUUGGGAUAUAAAGAAUCGUGCACAAAUACUUAACAGUCUGAUCAAUAACCAUUGACCGUUUUGAGGUCCUCGUACCCUAACAAGCACAGCUUGAUCAUGUAUAUUUGAUCAUUGGAAAAAUUCAAAGCACCUUGGUAUAGCAGAGCAAGCCAUUCUGUAGUAUCUUUUUUGUUUCUUAAAGACUAUAUGCACCAUAAUUUAACUGUAUCAUUGAUGGAAACUUAUUGCUCAUGUAUUUGAUGCACAAGAUAAUUAAUUACAAUACUAUAUAUGUAUCCAUAAUAUUUUUUAUCAAUAGCAAACAUAAAAUACUGUUCUAACAUUUUAGGAGAGGAAAGUGUGGAUGUGUCUAUGGAUUCAAUGGACCCCAGAGUGUAUGUGUAAAAAGCCCUAUCGUUAUAAAUCUUGCAUUCCUGUUAAGUGUUGGCAUGCAUGUUACACAGAGGUGUGUUUAUUUUAGUGGAAAUAUUGUCAUAAAAUCCUUUCCCUUGCUAUCUUUUAAAAAAUAUAUGUUCACAUACAUAUAAAAUAAAUGAAUAUGAAAGCUCAA